CAGUCGUACUUAUGGGUAAUCAGCCUUUCGGGUGCGAUUCUGUGGGGCGUGAGGAGCUUAACCGCCUUCAUGUUUUGCAUAUUCGUGCACAUUUGGUGUACUUGUCCGUGUGGUGGGUUAACAUCAAUUUCGGUCGUCAUAAAAUGAUUGGAGGAAUGUAGCUUUGGUCUCGUAUCGAAGUGUUAUAGACUCUGGUAGAUGUGACGAUUGGGAUUGAGGAUUGCAACGGGUACCCUUCGGGGCUACUCGUCUGAUCUCUGAAGGUUGCUCCGGUGCCGAAAGCGUGCUUACGGUCAUCGAAAGUGAUUUUCAAAAGGUUAGAACGGGUUAAAUUCGUUAAGGAUGUUGACGUAAUGGCUUUAAACGACCGUCUUGAAACACGGACCAAGGAGUCUAACAUAUGUGCGAGUG
rnacentral:rRNA from 1 species